CAGCCGCCGCGGUAAUACAGAGGUCUCAAGCGUUGUUCGGAUUCAUUGGGCGUAAAGGAUGCGUAGGUGGCGGUGUAAGUCUAACGUGAAAUCUCGGGGCUCAACCUCGAAAUUGCGUCGGAUACUGCAUUGCUAGAGGAUUGUAGAGGAGAGUGGAAUUCAUGGUGUAGCAGUGAAAUGCGUAGAUAUCAUGAGGAAGACCAGUUGCGAAGGCGACUCUCUGGGCAAUUCCUGACACUGAGGCACGAAGGCUAGGGGAGCAAACGGGAUUAGAUACCCCUGUAGUCCCUGUCUCUUAUAC
rnacentral:rRNA from 1 species